rnacentral:lncRNA from 1 species
GUUUAUAAGAAGCUUCUUAUCAAAAACUCAACAUAUUUGAAUUAUUCUACACUAUUAAAUGAGAAAACGCCUAAUUAAUAUAGACAGUUGAAAUUAAUUGUCUCCUUUUUUAAACUAUUUGAUCACUAGAUAUAAGAAGUCUGGGGCCCAUUUUGUAAAGCCUUUUCUAAGAAAAGACCAGUUUGAAGAUAGAGUUAGUGAAAAGUACCUUUUUUAAAAAACAUAAUUUUACCGAUGUGACGGGACAGACUCACCACAAAUAUAAGAAUUUCUCUAUCAACUUGGACAGUCUCCCCUAUAUUUUCAUGGCGUAUCAUCUAAUACAAUAUCGACAACACAACAUCACUCACACAGAUCAGCAAACACAAUACCAAUGCUCAUGCGAUUAAUCAGCUAACCAUCAUUAAGAUGAUGCAUACUCUAAGUACUCCAUAGGCGAGGGAUGAUGCGGAUGCACAAUACACCAACCAACUCUAUCUUUUAAAAGUAUUUUCCACCCGAAAAUUUUAUUUUAAAAACCUAAUACAACGAUAAAUCCAGAAAAUUAUUUUGAAAAUUGUUUCGCACACAAAAACUCAUUUUCUGAAAUCCAACUAUCACAAGGGUAGAAAACUGUUUCGUCAUAAUAUCACAAUUACAACAUCACCACUAUCACAGAUAGUAAACAGAAACUCACUAUUCAUUUAUUCUUAAAAUAAAUAUUCACAUGAACCAAAUAAUCGAAUAACUGAACCACUACACAGCCUACUUUAUUAAUGAAUAAACAUAA